rnacentral:tRNA from 1 species
AGAGUUGUGGCUCAGUGGUAGAGCACUUGCCUAACGUGUGAGGAACUGAGUUCGAUUCUCAGCACUG